rnacentral:rRNA from 1 species
AGGAGCGAUCAUACCAGCGUUAAUGCACCGGAUCCCAUCAGAACUCCGCAGUUAAGCACGCUUGGGUUGGAGUAGUACUGGGAUGGGUGACCUCUCGGGAAGUCCUAGUGUUGCACCCU